rnacentral:lncRNA from 1 species
AUACUUGACACCCAGAGUUGUCUGUAUUGCAGUACUGCCAGUCAUUAUGUGUCUACCUGUCCCUUCAAGAGACCUUGCUCAUUCGUUGGAGUGGUACAUAAUCUGAUUCCACCGACAUGUGCUUCCAACCCCUAGCUCUGCACUAGUUGAAAGUUAUCUGGAAUCCUUCCACAGUGCCCUGCUGAAAAAUACCCCAAAGUGUCUGCAAUUUGGGUACACAAGCCUGAGGGAGCGGACACACCCUGCGUAUAUGGAGCACAAUAAGAUUGUGGGACAGAAACCAGAAAGGGACACUCAAAAGAGACGUGCAGUCCCAGCAGCUAUUCUACAGAGGACAAAACAGUUGGUGGAUAUGAAGCCUUUACACCACUUUCAGCAGAGUCUUAUCCAGCUGGCUGUUCACCACAGACAGGACAAGCCCAUCGCCUUAAGCACAAAGAGUCUCAGCUUCCCCAGCCCACCAUUGCCAGUGUACUGAAGUUCUGACUGGAUAAACACAGCUAAUUAUUAGAAUCAGGUGUGCUAGAUUAGGGUUGGAGUGAAAACCUACAGGACGGUAGCUCUCCAGGAAUAGGGUUGGAAAACCCUGAUGUAGAUCCACCAUAAAAUAAAUAUGGAGAUUUUCUAUCAAUCUUUGAAAUGUUUCUGCCCUUAUGGAUUCAUAGAAGAUAUUUAUAAGCUGUGAAGGGCUCUGUACCAUCAAACAGAUGCUAGACAUUCAGAUAUCCAAAGAUUGUUUGUUUAUUUGUCAAAAUCUAAAAUACAGGAGAGUGUACACUAUUUAAUGCUAACUCAAGAGAAGUGAGUAUUCAACAAAAAUGUUAUAUGGUGAAGUAACAAAAAAAAUGUAUGAACAGUGUAGUACAGUUCAGUGUGUCCGAGUGUGUCUCAGGUGUAGAGAAACAUAAGUGCAGAGAACUGUAGUUACAGACUAUUACACCAGGUAAUGAGAUUUUCCCAAAGAUUUUUGCCCACAUCUGGUCUAUUUCAAGUCUUCUCUCAUUGGUUGAGACAGCUGGGUGUCCACCCUAAAGUGCUGCAUGUCAUGAUAACAGAAACCUGUCUUGAUCAAUGAGUUAGAAUACUGGAAAUAAUGAUGGCGGUGGACAUAUUGUUGGAUUACUCCAUUUACAUUUUAGUCAUUUAGCAGACGCUCUUAUCCAGAGCGACUUACAGUAGUGAAUGCAUACAUUUCAUACAUGUUUUUCUUCUUCUCCGUACUGGUCCCCCAUGGGAAUCGAACCCACAACCCUGGCGUUGCAAACACCAUGCUCUACCAACUGAGCCACAUGGGACCUAUUGAGCAAUAAAAGUUAUUUUAAUUAACAAAGCAUUUUCUAAAUUCAAACUAACCCCCUGAAACUGGACACAGACAUUUUAUGAGACUCCUGUUUCUCCGAAUCGAGGAUGAAGAUGACAUUUCUAAGGUUGGUCAUACAUUCUCUGUGCUACACCAAACAGUACCUAUCCUGUAACUCACCAUAACAGAUAUCAAAAAUCUUUGGUAAAAUCUCAUUAUCCUGUUUAGGAUAGGGGGCAGUAUUGACACGGCUGGAUAAAAAACAUACCCGAUUUAAUCUGGUUACCACUCCUACCCAGUAACUAGAAUAUGCAUAUACUUAUUACAUAUGGAUAGAAAAC